AGUGAACGCUGGCGGUAGGCCUAACACAUGCAAGUCGAACGGCAGCACAGGAGAGCUUGCUCUCUGGGUGGCGAGUGGCGGACGGGUGAGGCAUACAUCGGAAUCUGCCCAGUCGUGGGGGAUAACGUAGGGAAACUUACGCUACUACCGCAUACGACCUUCGGGUGAAAGAGGGGGGUCGCAAGACCUCUCGCGAUUGGAUGAGCCGAUGUCGGAGUAGCUAGUUGGCGGGGUAAUGGCCCACAGAGGCGGCGAUCCGUAGCUGGUCUGAGAGGAUGGUCAGCCACACUGGAGCUGAGACACGGUCCAGACUCCUACGGGAGGCAGCAGUGGGGAAUAUUAGACAAUGGGCGCAAGCCUGAUCCAGCCAGACCGCGUGGGUGAAGAAGGCCUUCGGGUUGUAAAGCCCUUUUGUUGGGAAAGAAAUCUUUCAGGCUAAUACCCUGGGAGGAUGACGGUACCCAAAGAAUAAGCACCGGCUAACUUCGUG
rnacentral:rRNA from 1 species